rnacentral:rRNA from 1 species
AUUGAACGCUGGCGGCAGGCUUAACACAUGCAAGUCGAGCGGGGUGAUGGUGCUUGCACUAUCACUUAGCGGCGGACGGGUGAGUAAUGCUUAGGAAUCUGCCUAUUAGUGGGGGACAACGUUCCGAAAGGAAUGCUAAUACCGCAUACGUCCUACGGGAGAAAGCAGGGGAUCUUCGGACCUUGCGCUAAUAGAUGAGCCUAAGUCGGAUUAGCUAGGUGGUGGGGUAAAGGCCUACCAAGGCGACGAUCUGUAGCGGGUCUGAGAGGAUGAUCCGCCAGACUGGGACUGAGACACGGCCCAGACUCCUACGGGAGGCAGCAGUGGGGAAUAUUGGACAAUGGGGGGAACCCUGAUCCAGCCAUGCCGCGUGUGUGAAGAAGGCCUUAUGGUUGUAAAGCACUUUAAGCGAGGAGGAGGCUACUGAGACUAAUACUCUUGGAUAGUGGACGUUACUCGCAGAAUAAGCACCGGCUAACUCUGUGCCAGCCGCCGCAGUAACAC